UACGUAGGGACCAAGCGUUGUUCGGAUUUACUGGGCGUAAAGGGCGCGUAGGCGGCAAUUCAAGUCAUCUGUGAAAUCUCCGGGCUUAACUCGGAACGGUCAGAUGAUACUGCUUUGCUAGAGUGCAGAAGGGGCAAUCGGAAUUCUUGGUGUAGCGGUGAAAUGCGUAGAUAUCAAGAGGAACACCUGAGGUGAAGACGGGUUGCUGGGCUGACACUGACGCUGAGGCGCGAAAGCCAGGGGAGCAAACGGG
rnacentral:rRNA from 1 species